GGGGCUGUAGCUCAUCUGGUAGAGCACAACGCUGGCAGCGUUGGGGUAGAGAGUUCGAGCCUCUUCAGCUCCACCA
rnacentral:tRNA from 2 species